AAUAAUAUAAGAGAUGCCUCUUAUUUAAGAGGUUCAAGAACUUCUAAGAGGUAGUGACGUAUCAAGUAGUGGUUGGAGGAAUCUAUUGAAAAAACAAAAUGUCUUCGCUUCUUUUUCUUCCUCUUCUCUUUAUCACGAAUCUCUCCAAUUCAGCGACUCAGUCUUAAUUACAUCCUCCUUACGGAUUUGCAACUUUUUUCUUGUUGUGGAGCUGUCAUCCCACAUAUCAUAUCCAGAAAUCCUAACAAUUCGGUGGUCACCAUCUGCAAAUUUGGUGAACCAAAUCCAAUACGACUUUUAGGAUUUUUCAAAAAUUCGAGUGUAGAAGAGCGAGAGCUUGCUGAGCUGUUGAUGGAGUAUCAGAACAAGUGUGGUGGCAGAGACAAAUUACAGCCCAUGAUUUUGCCUGAGUCAGAUUUUGAUCACCCUGAGUGAAACGACCCGAUCCAUUUUUUUUAAUAAAUAUUAAACUAGUGAUCCCAUACUCACUAACACCCUAACCCCAAUCAAAACACAACAGCAAAAAUAAUCAAACAUUAAAGCAAUAAAUUAAAUAACCAAUGACGAAUAAAACAAUAACAUCUAUCUAACAAACUAAUAACAUAACCCAAGUAAUAGAACAUUGAACCAGCAACCUAAACAACCUUUCUAGACCACUACAUUCCAUUCUAGCAACCUAACAACAACAUAAAAUAAAACAAGCAAGCCUCUAGAACAUCUUCCUCUUCAUUGUCUUGAUUCUACGAUCACACUUUGCAUUUACCUGCACUACAAACACAAAUUGAGGUCCAUGAGUAUGUCAUAGACACUCAGUGAGGCAAUCCUCUCAUCUACUGGGCUAUACACACAAACAUCUGAGAAUUCAAUGUCAA